CGCAGCACUUGCAUUGGAUGUAAAACUGUGCUAGACGAUGACAGUGCGGUUUGCAAACACUGUAAAAGCCAAGAGUCGAUGAUUUAUCAAAAAGAGAUUGCCAGUUUGAAUUAUUUGAAGGAGAAAUUCUCCCGACUUUGGACACAAUGUCAGGAAUGUCAAGGAAGCUUUCAUCACGAUGUUCUUUGUACGAGUCGAGAUUGUCCUAUAUUCUACAUGAGAAAAAAGGCUAAAAAAGACUUGGUAGAUCAGCAUAAA